rnacentral:rRNA from 1 species
AUUGAACGCUGGCGGCAGGCCUAACACAUGCAAGUCGAGCGAGGGGCGGACGGGUGAGUAAUGUAUGGGGAUCCGUGCGAGAGAGGGGGAUCACUACUGGAAACGGUGGCUAAUACCGCAUACUAUAGGAUGAACACAUAUGGGAUUAGCUGGUAGGUGGGGUAAGGGCUCACCUAGGCGACGAUCUCUAGCUGGUCUGAGAGGAUGAUCAGCCACACUGGAACUGAGACACGGUCCAGACUCCUACGUGAGGCAGCAGUGGGGAAUAUUGCACAAUGGGCGCAAGCCUGAUGCAGCCAUGCCGCGUGUAUGAAGAAGGCCUUCGGGUUGUAAAGUACUUUCAGCGGGGAGGCGUUACCCGCAGAAGAAGCACCGGCUAACUCCGUGCCAGCAGCCGCGGUAAUUC